rnacentral:ncRNA from 1 species
AAUUUAGUCAUUUUUCCUAAUUUCUCUUAAUUAGGCUAAAUUCACUUAAUUAAAGCAUAUUUAAACACACAACUAGAUUGAAAAAUAUUCCUAAUAAAUAUUUACGAACCCAUUUCGCUUAGACGGAGGCCCGAUAAUGUACUUUUUCGGUACCCAUGAAUUUUGGGUCAUUACAAAAUACAAUCCAACACCUAGCACAUUUGAAUUUGCUCGUCCUAUUAGGCCGGAGGAAGGCGAGGAUGACGUCAAGUAAUCAUGCCCUUUAUGCCCUGAGUGACUCACGUGCUACAAUAGACGGGACAAAGAGUCGUGAUCCCGUGAGGGUGAGCUAACUCCAAAAACCCGUCCUCAGUUCGGAUUGCAGGCAGCAAAAGGAGCAUCAAAUUGGUACAACUUAUGUAAAAAAAAAAAGGAAAUUAGUAGAAAAGCUUGAAGAUCAAGUUGGAAGAGAUUAUCUAGUUU